GGAAGACCGACAAGAGGAAUGUCCAUUAAAACAACUUAGGAAGGAGGACGGGGGAGACAGACACCGUUUCCAACCACCUGGCAAAUAAUGGCUGAAGCAGGGGCUUCGCUGGAGCUCAGGAUAGGUCUUGGAAUGUAUGUGAGGAGGAGACCGGAAGACCCAUUCCAUCUGUACCUUGUCAGACAUUUGUCCCAGAACUCCCUUGUUAGGAAAAAAAGCAAAAGGGUAAAUGAAAGGAAGAGAGGAAGGAGAAAGGAGAGAAAAGCUAUAAGAAACAGUCAACUACAGAUACUGAAAAGGAUGGGCUUAAU